UUAACUAAUUACUUAUACAUUCGCCAGGGAACUACAAGCCAUAGCUUAAAACCCAAAGGACUUGGCGGUGCUCCACACCACCUAGAGGAGCCUGUUCUAUAAUCGAUACUCCACGAUUUACCCCACCACUUCUUGCCAAAACCGCCUAUAUACCGCCGUCGCCAACUCACCCUUUGAAGGAGACACAGUGGGUUAAAGGAUUAAACACCAAAACGUCAGGUCAAGGUGUAGCUUAUGAAGUGGGAAGAAAUUGGCUACAUUUUCUAUAUUAGACUACACGGAUUAUCAGUAUGAAACCUGAUAUGAAGGAGGAUUUAGCAGUAAAAAGAAAUCAGCAAGUUCUUUUCAAGAUGGCCCUAGAGCGCGCACACACCGCCCGUCAC
rnacentral:rRNA from 1 species